UAAAGACUCCACAUCAGGCUGAGAGUCAGAGAGUCAGAGAAGCUCCAUCAUGUCACCUUCAACACCAACCAUGUUCUCUGGAGCUCUGCUGCUGCUGGCUGCUGGAUCCUGUGUGAAGAGUGUAACUCUGACACAGCCAGCCUCUGAGACUGUGCAGCCAGGUCAGAGUCUGACCAUCACCUGUCAGGUCUCAUACUCUCUCACUGGCUAUCAUACAGCCUGGAUCAGACAGCCUGCAGGGAAAGGACUGGAGUGGGUCUCUAUCAUGUGGACUGAUGGUAACACUGCUGUAAAUAAUGCUCUGAGGAACAAGUUCAGUGUCAGCAGAGACACUUCUGCUGGAGCAGUGACUCUCACAAGACAGAACAUGCAGCCUGCAGAUGCUGGGGUGUAUUACUGUGCCAGAGAAACUCCCACAGUAACACAACCAUCAGCAAAGCUGAACAAAAACCCCUCAGAGUUUGAAGACCAAACAUGA